AGGAUAAUAGUUUAAUUUAAACAUUUAAGUUGCAUUUAAAAAUUAUUGAUAUUAGUCAAUUUAUCUUA
rnacentral:tRNA from 1 species